rnacentral:RNase_P_RNA from 2 species
GGGAGAGAGAGCCUGGCUGCCGCGAUGGUGUUACCGGCAACGGUGGCAUCACCACAGCCCGGCGUGGCUCCGCGAGUCGCGCCAGGCGAUACGUGGCCCGUCCCAUCGGGACGCGCAACGCCUGCGAGGAAAGUCCCCCCACCUGUUCGGGCAGGUGACCGGGCGCAAGUCCGGAGCGGGAGACCGCUGGCUCUGGAACAGAAACGACACGUCUCGGCCCGACCGAUGAUGCGCGCGAACCCGACCGAGAGGAAGGGGAGUUGACCCGCAGAGGGAUGCGCGGUCCUAUGGACCGCGAAACGUGAGGCGGCGCGAGCCGCCGAACUGGCGAGCGGCAACCGCCGCAAGCCGUGUGCGGUCGUCAAACUGUGGUUCGAAUCCACGGGUCACGUUCGUCGUGAUCGAUCGCACACGGACGGCCGAGGAUCGAUGGAACGGCGAACCCUCACCGGUGCAAGUCCGCGCCGUGGUAGCCCGAACGCCCCGCGGCCUCGCCGCGGACGGUGCGGACGCUCAGCCGAAUGCCGGGUCGAACAGAAGGGGGCUUACUCCUCUCACCC